UGGGGAAUAUUGGACAAUGGGCGCAAGCCUGAUCCAGCCAUGCCGCGUGAACGAUGAAGGCCUUAGGGUUGUAAAGUUCUUUUGUCAGGGAAGAUAAUGACGGUACCUGAAGAAUAAGCACCGGCUAACUUCGUGCCAGCAGCCGCGGUAAUACGAAGGGUGCUAGCGUUGUUCGGAAUCACUGGGCGUAAAGCGCGCGUAGGCGGCGAUAUAAGUCAGAGGUGAAAGCCUGGAGCUCAACUCCAGAACUGCCUUUGAAACUAUAUUGCUAGAGUGUCGGAGGGGAUAGCGGAAUUGCUAAUGUAGAGGUGAAAUUCGUAGAUAUUAGCAGGAACACCGGUGGCGAAGGCGGCUAUCUGGACGACAACUGACGCUGAGGCGCGAAAGCGUGGGGAUCAAACAGGAUUAGAUACCCAUGUAGUCCCUGAGCGGGCUGGCAAGGCGCAU
rnacentral:rRNA from 1 species